rnacentral:sRNA from 1 species
ACUUUCCGGAUAUUAUUUUUGUUUUCGGAUCGAAUUUUACUUGACGUAAAUCAUAAGAAUAGUGCUAUUCGCAAUGGCGUGAAGUCACCGGAAGUUCAGGUAAAUUUAUCGACUAUAUUAGCUUCGGGCUCGACAUGAUGUUUAGGACUCGUGCUCAAGAUGCUGCACGAAGCAGACACUUCAUAUGAUAAAGAUGGAUGAAAAUGCAGAAUAUAAAGAUUUUGAAGAGGCUAUAAGGGCUGUUAGGGAUAUUGAAAUUGAAACUAAUUCGCAGUUUGUAGUUGCUCGAAAAACCAAAACCUUUAACACUAAUUGCUUCAUCGGCGAUGAAGAGAGGAACCACACGUCAUUCUGUCAAUGUCAGCACUGCAACCGUAAUAACAUUAUAAUUGAAACUGUAACAGCCAUUUGGUUUGCCCUUUUACCAAGCAGUAACGAAAGUGGGGAUGAAAUCAAGAUUUAUGAUGCAAAACCAAAGAAGCAAAGAAUUUGGUUUUCUGGAAACAAUAACGUGGUUGGACCCGUGAUAGAAAACAUCCCCUUCGUUGUCAUUGGUUCCUGCGAUUUAGCAUGCAUUCAUGGCAAACCAAGGAAGAAAGAGAAACAACAUCAAAAUGCACCCUUGUCAAGGAAAAUACGAACAAAUAUUUCGAAAACCAUAAAAGAUCCUAAAAAACCAAGAUCCACUGAGAGACUAUUUGUUCUUCACAAAAGGAAUGUUCAUGAAGACCAUCUCACUGGAAAAAUUGCUGGUGUUACUAGAAAUCUCUCCAAAGAGAUUUCUAAUAAAAUUCACGAAUUGGCGGAGGAGGGCGUCGUGAAAGUUGGAGAAGUCAAGAAAGAAUUAGAGAAGCAUGUUAAAACCCUCCCAUUGAAAAAAAGGCCAUCUUUUCUGAACAAGCAGUAUUUUCCGACUAACAAAACGGUUUCAAAUCAUAUACAGUUGGCACUUGCAAAGAACAGCGAAGAAAAAGAUGAAAAGUUUCUGAUUGUAAUACAGACAGAAUGGCAGAAAAAGAUACUAUCAACUUUUGGGGAAUGUUUUGUCAUCGACAGUACUUUUAACACCUCGAAAUAUAAACUUCCUUUGUAUGAGCUUGUUGCUCAUACAAACGUUGGUUAUAUUCCCAUCGGCAUCAUUAUAACAGAAGAUGAAACCGAAAAAGACAUUUUCGAUGGCCUUACUAUUCUAAAGUCAUGGAACCCGCAGUGGAACCCGUCCUCUGUUGUUAGUGAUUGUGACAUCGCACAGAGCAAUGCCUUACAAAAAAUGUUUCCAGAUUGUUCUCAGUUUCUUUGCAAGUUUCACAUCACACAGGCUUGGAAGAGAUGGGUUUCAAGGAAAGAAAACAUGGUUGGGGAAGAAAAAGAUGAAACAUUACGACAUUUUCAGAGAAUAGCCGAUUCCCUCACAAUGGAUCAAUUCGAAGAAAACGUGACUGCUUUUAAGAACGCAACAAUAUUUCAGGAGAAUGAACAUCUGCAAAACUAUUUUAAUAACGUGUGGUUAAGUGUUGCCAAGAAAUGGGUUAGAGCAUUCAGACCUCUAAACGAAAACACCGUUGUAACAACCACAAAUGGAGUAGAGGUACACCACCGAAUUUUAAAGAACCUUUUGGAUGCUCAUAGUUGCAGAAGUAUUGAGAGUUUGGUGGAAGUUAUCAUAAAGAGAUAUUUCGAAGAAAUGCUUACAAAAUAUGUGUCGAAAAAUGUUCAGCCAUUAAAGUCAUCAAAAGCUUACAACGGAUCCAUACCAGUAUUCUUAAUCGAAAAAACGGCGCCAUUUAUGCAACAUUGCUUAAGUAGAUUGACAGAUGCAACAAUUAUAGAUUCAUCAAUGGUAGAAAAAAUAACGGAAACAAAAUAUAAAGUCUCGUCCCUUUCAACUCUCCAAGACUGUUACGCUGUUGAUUUGUCAAAGCCAGAUUGUGAGUGUGUGGACUUUCAGUUCCAUUUCCUACCAUGUAAACACAUAUUGGCCAUUUUGACCUUGGAGAAACCAGCGCUUGAAAUUUGUACCAAAUAUUUAGCGUCAAAGUUUUUUAACAGUGAUCGAAAUUUUUUGGAGUGGAUGAAUGAAGAAACAUCAGAAACCCAUGAUACUUAUGAUAAACCACAUUCAAGUCCAACUGCAGCUACAUCCAGCAACGGAAGUGUCGAAGAAUUCUUAACCGCAACAAGUGGCUCUAAACCAGUGAAUGUGUUCACUGCUAAUGCUGCCUUAAAUAGAUUAAGAAAUUUUAUAAAUAACUCCAACAAUGAACAGGGAAUCAGUGACUGCAUUGGGCACAUUAAUGACAUUCUGAGAAAGUUAAAAACUGAAUAUGGAAUACCGAGUUCUUUCUCAAAAAGAAAAAGGGGAACACAGCGUUGUCCAAAACAGAAAAUUGUUGAUGAAAGCGAGUGUGGUCAACCAGUAGAUGAUGCUACACAAGAUGACAAGGACACAAGUAGUUGUUCGUCUUUUACGGAGGAGGAGCUUAACAUGUUUUUUGAGAAGGUGCCUUACAAUCCAUACUUUAAGAUUCCAGUACCUGAUUACGCUGAAGUCAAUCCUUACAAUCCAAAUCUAAUGCGAAUAAAACCACGUGAAUGUCGAUUAAAUGACGAUGACAUUCCCGAUUCAAUAAAGAAUUACAAGCCAAAAAGGAAAAUCCGCGUGUCAUCUUUACAGCAUUCAAAAAGCUGUGAACAGACUAAAAUCAGUGAUGCAAAAGUAGAGAACUCAAAAGACAAACCUAAAAGCGAAUUGCCAACCGACGAUUACACAUCCUCCCGCAAAUCAACAAAGAAUCCCAUUAUUCCUGACAUUGAGGAAAUCUGGAAAAACCACAGAAGAUCAACUUCAUUAAUGGCCAUUGUUGGGCAAUAUAAGCUGUACGGAUAUUCGUUUGAUUCGCUUAGGAGUGGGAUGGAAGUCACUGAUGAGAUUAUUGAUGCAUACAUGCAGUCCCUUGUAGACGCCUCUAACAACUGUGUAUCAUUCAUAAGUUGUGUUGUUGCGGGAAGAUUAUUUCUACAACCGAACGAUUGCGCACUUAUGUCGAAAUUGUCUCUGAAUUGUUACGACAAAAUUAUUUGUCCAUACAACUGCAGUGGACAUUGGGAGCUUGUGGUAAUUUUUCCACACCAGAAAACUAUUAUGUACCUAGACCCAUUGGGUGAGAAUGAUAAAAAAAAGAAAAGCAUCCUUCAGUCAUGGAAAACAUUCAUAAACAGACGGUUUUCAGCCGGACUUGAAUCAUCUGGACCGAGUAAAUGGAAGAUUGAAACUGCCCCGCACUGCAAACAACUAGAUUCUGUUAGCUGUGGUGUUUAUGUUAUGAAAGCAAUGUUUCCAACCUAUGUCGCUCCUGUGGUCAAAGUUACAAACUUUUUCAUAGAUGGAUACAAUGCAAUUCUUGCCAAUGGUGGCACCACUUUGAAUGUGCCGAUCUACCAACCACAUUUGACAACGCAAAGCGUAAUUCCUUUUACUUCCUUUGCAAAACAUGCCGUGGAGUAGAAUCACAACACCAUGCUUUCGGUUUCGUGGAAACAUCUCUCCCCGAUAUUAAAAGAAGAAAACCUGAGUUGCCUGAAGGUACAACCUCGCCCCUUUCAGAUCUUCAUGCCACACGGGAACCAUUUGUGUUGUGUAAGCUAUCAAAUCGUGUAAAGAUAUGCGCAGGAUGUCGAAACAAGUUUGAAAAGCCCUUGAAAUGUCCGAGAGAUGUAGCCAUCAGGCACAGAGAACUUGAGAAAUUUUUUGAUAAAAAAAAUAGACAAUUACGGGAAGUUUUUAACAACAAAUACUACCACGUGUCUGCCAAUUGCAUUCAGUCUAAAAAUCCACUUUUUUGUAAAUCAUCAAUAUGCAUUCCUCCACAACUCCACUUAACAAACGAGUAUCUGGAGUAUUUCAGAAAUCAUGGAGUUGAUUUGUCAUCUGUUCUAGUCAGGAAAAUUUAAGUUUUAUUGAGUACAUCAAAAUUGGCACAAACAUGUAGAAUAAAAUACUAAGAGUCUGUCACAGGGUACCGCUUUCAUCACUUUUGAUUGGCUUACUAAAUAAAUACACAAACAUCGCAUGCAUUGACAUUGUAUAGUUUUCUUAUAAUAAAAAACAUGUUCCGUCUACCUAAUAAUACACAAGUUUAUUCGGAUCGAAGAGGGUAAAUAUUUAAAGUAUAUUCAGGUGCCUGUGUGGUAUAUAUGAUUAUCGUAAUUUUAUGCCAGAGUGGUGGAAGCAGAAUCGGUGGACAGAGUAUAAAGGUUUAUUGAUAUGUUGCAUAUUUUUAUGAAAUACAUCAAAUUUCAUUAUGAAGUUUGUGAAACUACCUCGAUCUUAGUAUUCUUAUGAUAUAUAAGGUUUUUUUUCUUCAUAAUUAAACUUUGACAAUUGUUGUUUUUGUUUGUCUUUUUACCCAAAU